GGCCCCUCAGGAUUGCCCCGCCCCCGGCCUGCGGUGCGUGGGCAGAGCCUCGCCUACCUCCGGAGCCACCUUCCCACCUGGCUGUGGUUCCGCCGUUGCAGCUCAGCUGCUCCUAGGUUCCCGGGUGGUGGGGGCCGAGCGCACUCCUUUGCGCCCCGGCCCAGGGUAUUGAGGCUCUGCCUGGGAGAGUGGCGGGAGGGACGGCAGUUGGUUGUCGACUGUGGGCGACGGUCUGCAGCGCCCUCUGGGAGUGGACACCGAGCGCCCUCCAGGGAAAGAAAAGGGGAAGAACCGGCGGAGCCCUGCCGGCAAUCUGGUAGGCGGGAGAGAUGGUGCCAAACGACCUUGGACCUGGAGACCAAAGAUGGCGUCUUCCCCACCCGCCCUCCCCAGGCAGAGGACAAGGCCCGCCCGGUUGGCCGGAACUAGGAACCAAAAAGCCUCCUGAGGCGUCUUGGCCUCUUGGGCAGUCUCCCGUGUUUCUCUUUAAACGGAUUAAACGUUCCCGGGUCCUGGGUUUUGCAAGUAGGGACAGUUAGCUGUGGGCCCCUGGAUUCUUCUCCACCCACCCUGCAGGUUUGCGGUGAGCUAAGCAACCUCCUGCGCCCCCAUCUUAGCCGCUCCUCCCAUCAGGCCACUAAAAAGUGAUGCCCCACCCCCACGCCCACACAGCACUCAGCCCUGGUUUUGCCUCUGCUCCUGUAUACUUGUUUGACCUCAGGAAGCUCUCCCUUCCGGGGUCUCAGUGUCCCCGGAUCUGUCUAUGAGGGACGACAGAUCCUCAUCCGGGUUCUUGAGGCCUGAUGCAGGGUCUCUUAGUGCCUCGGUUUCAAGGAUCGUCCAACAGCAUGGUACCAGGCGGGGCUCCUCCAAGGAGCUCAGGGGGUCCGGGGUAAAAUGCCCUUUUGGUAGAAGACCAUGAAAAUAAAAAAAGAAGACCAUGUGUGUGUCCGCCAGGGUGUGGCUCAUGGUCUGAAGUCAGCUCUCUAGCCCUUUCAACCCAAUAUGGAGGAAAAGUAGGUACGUUUGAAAUCUUGCCUCUCUCUAAUGCACAAAAUAAAGAAGAUUGAGGUCAGGGA